UACGAAGGGGGCUAGCGUUGCUCGGAAUCACUGGGCGUAAAGGGUGCGUAGGCGGGUCUUUAAGUCAGGGGUGAAAUCCUGGAGCUCAACUCCAGAAAUGCCUUUGAUACUGAGAAGCUUGAGUCCGGGAGAGGUGAGUGGAACUGCGAGUGUAGAGGUGAAAUUCGUAGAUAUUCGCAAGAACACCAGUGGCGAAGGCGGCUCACUGGCCCGGUACUGACGCUGAGGUGCGAAAGCGUGGGGAGCAAACAGG
rnacentral:rRNA from 1 species